CGCUCCGUCCUAGGGGAGUAGUCUCCCGCGAGCGCCAGCUCGCAAGGCACGCGUCAACAUACUUGGCCCUCAGGCCAUGGCGCGUGCGACCCAGCGGCCGCACAGACGGCCCAGGUUUGACAAGACCUAUGACACGCACACCUUACCCGGGGCGGGGAGGCUGUUCGUGUCAUAGCCGUGUCGAC
rnacentral:sRNA from 1 species